rnacentral:rRNA from 1 species
ACGCUGGCGGCGUGCCUAAUACAUGCAAGUCGAGCGGACAGAUGGGAGCUUGUUCCCUGAUGUUAGCGGCGCACGGGUGCGUAACGCGUAUGUAACCUACCUUUAACAGGGGGAUAACACUGAGAAAUUGGUACUAAUACCCCAUAACACCUUUAGGGGCAUCCUUAGAGGUUGAAAGUUCCGGCGGUUAAAGAUGGACAUGCGUUGUAUUAGCUAGAUGGUGAGGUAAAGGCUCACCAUGGCGACGAUACAUAGGGGGACUGAGAGGUUAACCCCCCACACUGGUACUGAGACACGGACCAGACUCCUACGGGAGGCAGCAGUGGGGAAUCUUCCGCAAUGGGCGCAAGCCUGACGGAGCAACGCCGCGUGAGUGAAGAAGGUUUUCGGAUCGUAAAGCUCUGUUGAGAGGGACGAGAGACAUAAUCAGGAAAUGGGUUAUGGAGGACGGUACCUUUCGAGGAAGCCACGGCUAACUACGUG